GCUAAUUAAAACCACUGAACUUAGCCUCUGACCUGCACAACAUGUUGGUGUCUUCCAAUGAAUUUCUCAUGAAAUAUCAGAAACAACGGAGGUUGCUGUGCCACUUGUUGCACUAACAGACCAUUCAAGAAGUCCGUGCUGCAGCUUCUCUCCGCACCUCCUCUUCUUCAACCUCCAUGGAUCCCUCCCCUCCUCGAGCUCCUCCCUCCUCCCUGCCUCCCUGUGUGCACCUCAUAAAUCUCCAUCUGCACCGCAUGUGCUGUGUGCGUGAACGCUCACAGAGAAAUCAGAAUGAGAGGAAUUGGGGAUGAGAUUGGAGGCACUUGGCGAGGUUUUAAAGAAGCUCAUUCCUCCUUCUCCCCGUACCCUCCUCCUGGCUCUGUUGCUCGCUCGCUCGCUCACUCCCCUGAGCUGCUACGCCGAUUCCGUCAUCACAACACACAGUGAGGCGUGCUGCUGGCGCUCACUCCCUGUAGCUCGUGGACGCACACACACACACGCAGAGCCUCACAGUGGAGCCAACAGUCAAGAUGCAGCAGCAGGAGAGCAUGUCUUCUGAUUCCUUGUCAGAGAACACAGAUAGAACCCCCUGCAGAUCGGACUAUAUGGAAUAAAUAAGAAGGAGGAAGAUAGGAUUCCCUCUUUGGACUUUUUUUUUUCCAAGAAGAAAACAUAUUUUGAUGAUUUCUUAUUUAUUUUUUGAGGUGUCUGAACUAUAAAUGAAUGAUUUUGUGAAUUAAUAGAAAUGUUCUGUGCUAUCUAAACAGCAUACUAUGACCAAAGUUCCUACUUAUUAGCUUCUAUGACAUAUAAAUCAUACUCUUCACAUAUUGUCAAUUAUAUAGAGAUGUACCAGGCUUCAUGGUGUUCUUUUUCUGGUAUAAAAGGGGCAAGAAAUUCUAAAUUUUUUACAGGAAUAUGCCCUUACAGCUUUAGUUAAGAUCAAUACAUGAAAGAUAUCCAAGACACCUCAGUUCUGUAGCCCAUAUGUUCAAGCUUUCAAUGCUAUAAGGGACCAAUUAUUUUAGAAUGAAAAAGCAAUAGACUCAUAAAGCAGUGUCUAUUAUAGCUGACAUUGAUUGGUUAACAUUUUUUAGUUUCUCUUUACAUAGCAGCAUUUCCUCAUACGUUAAGAUGCAAUACAGAACGAUACGAUAUAAUAUGUUAACAGUAAUGCACACACCAAUCACAUCAAUAAACAACAUACAUUGCACAUUACCCAGAUCUCCUGUUCUGUGUAAUAGACAACACAAAUAAAUGAAAAACAUACUAACACCAUAAAGCUAUUACAAAACCCCUACAACCUGAAGGAAAUACAAAUAAAAGUAACAUUAAAGGGAUAUUUCAGAAUUUUUGAUGUGGGGUUCUAUGAGUUGUAUGUCACUAGUAAAUGAACUAGCCACAAUGGAUGCCGCUAAGCUCAGCCCCUGUAAGGAGAAACUGCAGGGAGAAACAGUACGCAAGCUAGGCCACAGUUUUCUGCAUAUGGGGCCAAGUCUGCUAUGUCAUUUAGCUAAUUUUGAGAGACUCAGACCCAAGCACUCAUCUCGGUUUAAGUGUGCGAUCUACUGAGAAAUUUUGCAGCACUUUACUUUGCAAUCAGGAAGUCCAAUUCCAACACUUUUUUUUACAAUAUGACACAAUACUAAAUAAUAAACAACAUGAAUUGCACAUUGCCCAGAUCUCUUCUAUUCUUUAUAGUAAACAAAAAAACAAAAAACGUCAUCACACCAAAAAGUCAU